UGAAAUGGGCCACGAACGAAUGCUCGAGCUGCCCGAAGGAAUGGAUACUUUCCGAUCGGAGACCGGAGUACCAGGCCCUGGCAGCCUUGCGGAGUGUGGCGGGGAAGCCGAUGCAAAAAAGAGCGUCGGUUGCCCCUUGAAUCAUCAUGAGAGCUUUAUAGCUCUCGAGGUGGUCGACUGGGUCGGUGGAGCCGUCGUAAGGCUCCACGUGCGGCAUCUUGAACCGACU
rnacentral:lncRNA from 1 species